rnacentral:rRNA from 1 species
CUACGGGUGGCAGCAGUGGGGAAUAUUGCACAAUGGGCGCAAGCCUGAUGCAGCCAUGCCGCGUGUAUGAAGAAGGCCUUCGGGUUGUAAAGUACUUUCAGCGGGGAGGAAGGGAGUAAAGUUAAUACCUUUGCUCAUUGACGUUACCCGCAGAAGAAGCACCGGCGAACUCCGUGCCAGCAGCCGCGGUAAUACGGAGGGUGCAAGCGUUAAUCGGAAUUACUGGGCGUAAAGCGCACGCAGGCGGUUAGUUAAGUCAGAUGUGAAAUCCCCGGGCUCAACCUGGGAACUGCGUCUGAUACUGGCAAGCUUGAGUCUCGUAGAGGGGGGUAGAAUUCCAGGUGUAGCGGUGAAAUGCGUAGAGAUCUGGAGGAAUACCGGUGGCGAAGGCGGCCCCCUGGACGAAGACUGACGCUCAGGUGCGAAAGCGUGGGGAGCAAACAGGAUUAGAUACCCGCGUAGUC